UGGGGAAUUUUGCGCAAUGGGCGAAAGCCUGACGCAGCAACGCCGCGUGGGUGAUGAAGGUCUUCGGAUCGUAAAACCCUGUCGUCAGGGACGAAGGUUGUGUUCCUAAUACGGAUGCAACUUGACGGUACCUGGAGAGGAAGCCCCGGCUAACUCUGUGCCAGCAGCCGCGGUAAUACAGAGGGGGCAAGCGUUAUUCGGAAUUAUUGGGCGUAAAGGGCGCGUAGGCGGUGAUUUAAGUGAGAUGUGCAAUCCCCGGGCUUAACCUGGGAACUGCAUCUCAGACUGGGUCGCUAGAGUGCUGGAGAGGGUGGUGGAAUUCCACGUGUAGCGGUGAAAUGCGUAGAGAUGUGGAGGAACACCAGUGGCGAAGGCGACUCUCUGGUCUGUAACUGACGCUGAGGAGCGAAAGCGUGGGGAGCGAACA
rnacentral:rRNA from 1 species